UACGAAGGGGGCAAGCGUUGUUCGGAAUUACUGGGCGUAAAGGGCGCGUAGGCGGCCUGCUAAGUCACACGUGAAAUCCCUCGGCUCAACCGGGGAACUGCGUGUGAUACUGGCGGGCUUGAAUUCGGGAGAGGGAUGUGGAAUUCCAGGUGUAGCGGUGAAAUGCGUAGAUAUCUGGAGGAACACCGGUGGCGAAGGCGGCAUCCUGGACCGAGAUUGACGCUGAGGCGCGAAAGCUAGGGGAGCAAACGGG
rnacentral:rRNA from 1 species